GCAAAACCAAAAAGAACAUUGAGGUAACCAUUGAACACAUUGUCAACCUUUUAAUAUUGGUUGGUAAAUUCCAUAUUCAUAAAUGCAGAGUAUUGAAA